rnacentral:rRNA from 1 species
ACUCUUGCCUAUCGGGAUCCAAGUUUUGGAUUCUCGAUGAGGACGUCUUUCCUGCUUACAGGGCACGGGUCGUUCAAUGCAUUUUUGCACGGGAGAGCCCUCAGCGAUACCACUGCUUGCGCAUGUGGAGAUCCAUAUGAGGACUGGAUGCAUAUCUUGUGCGCUUGCCCCCUAUAUGCAGAUCUGCGGGACCUAGAUGGACUUGGAGUGCAGCGCCUUGGCGAAAACUGGAUCUUCGAGGGAAUCCUGGAUGAUCAAGAGAAGACUCAACGGCUGGCAAUGUUUGCGGAAGAAGUGUUCCUGAGGAGGAGGGGCGUUUAGCUCAACAUCUCUGCCGUGUGGUUAGCGGGCGAGAAUACUACCACAGUCCGCUGUUGCUUGUCGUAAGAGACGACUAAUACAGCGAUAGGAUUCCUCUAACCCUGCUUGUCGGAGCAAAAGGGGGGAGGCCCACCGAGCCUCUUUUCGGUACCACGGGUUGAGCAGCUAUCCAAGACUGCUCAUUGAGGUAGGCCCCCUGGUGGGAGUAUCGUGGUGGCUGUGGUUGGUACCCAUAUCGCGGGUAGAGCCUUCAUGCUCGACGUUUGAGUUACGGUGCUAGUUGCGCAAAACUCGGGUGCUGUGACCCAGAGAUCAGUAGAGAUUUUAGGUAGAUCUCGCUCCUCAGCAAGGGGGAGUGCUUGCCCGGCAAGCAAGUACUCGAAUUGCUACCGGGGUGGUCGCUAUGUACAUAGCUAUAGCUUCUAGUCCGGGACGCUUGUCUGGCGUAUCCAGACACAUGCACCAUAUGCUCACUUGUGGGCGUAUAGGGUGCCGUGGUUGUAAUCCCUUCAGUGUGGAACACGCCACGUAAAAUAAGUUCGGAGGGAUCCGAAAAGCAUACAUUGUCCCUAUCUACUGCCGUGUGGUUAGCGGGCGAGAAUACUACCACAGUCCGCUGUUGCUUGUCGUAAGAGACUGCUCAUUGAGGUAGGCCCCCUGGUGGGAGUAUCGUGGUGGCUGUGGUUGGUACCCAUAUCGCGGGUAGAGCCUUCAUGCUCGACGUUUGAGUUACGGUGCUGGUUGCGCAAAACUCGGGUGCUGAGACCCAGAGAUCAGUAGAGAUUUUAGGUAGAUCUCGCUCCUCAGCAAGGGGGAGUGCUUGCCCGGCAAGCAAGUACUCGAAUUGCUACCGGGGUGGUCGCUAUGUACAUAGCUAUAGCUUCUAGUCCGGGACGCUUGUCUGGCGUAUCCAGACACAUGCACCAUAUGCUCACUUGUGGGUGUAUAGGGUGCCGUGGUUGUAAUCCCUUCAGUGUGGAACACGCCACGUAAAAUAAGUUCGGAGGGAUCCGAAAAGCAUACAUUGUCCCUAUCUACUAUCUAGCGAAACCACAGCCAAGGGAACGGGCUUGGAAUAAUUAGCGGGGAAAGAAGACCCUUUUGAGCUUGACUCUAAUCUGGCAGUGUAAGGAGACAUAAGAGGUGUAGAAUAAGUGGGAGAUAUUAGACCUCGGUUUGGUAUCGUCAAUGAAAUACCACUACUCUUAUUGUUUCCUUACUUACUUGAUUAAAUGGAACGUGUAUCAUUUCCUAGCCAUUAUACGGAUAUAUUUAUUAUAUCUUAUGGUAUUGGGUUUUGAUGCAAGCUUCUUGAUCAAAGUAUCACGAGUUUGUUAUAUAAUCGCAAACAAAUUCUUUAAUAAAACGAUGCAUUUAUGUAUUUUUGAUUUGAAAAUUUGGUAUAACUCCAAUUACUCAGGUAUGAUCCAAUUCAAGGACAUUGCCAGGUAGGGAGUUUGACUGGGGCGGUACAUCUCUCAAAUAAUAACGGAGGUGUCCCAAGGCCAGCUCAGUGCGGACAGAAACCACACAUAGAGCAAAAGGGCAAAUGCUGACUUGAUCUCGGUGUUCAGUACACACAGGGACAGCAAAAGCUCGGCCUAUCGAUCCUUUUGGUUUAAAGAGUUUUUAACAAGAGGUGUCAGAAAAGUUACCAUAGGGAUAACUGGCUUGUGGCGGCCAAGCGUUCAUAGCGACGUCGCUUUUUGAUCCUUCGAUGUCGGCUCUUCCUAUCAUUGUGAAGCAAAAUUCACCAAGCGUUGGAUUGUUCACCCAUGCAAGGGAACGUGAGCUGGGUUUAGACCGUCGUGAGACAGGUUAGUUUUACCCUACUAAUGACAAAACGUUGUUGCGACAGCAUUCCUGCGUAGUACGAGAGGAACCGCAGGUACGGACCAAUGGCACAAUACUUGUUCGAGCGAACAGUGGUAUGACGCUACGUCCGUUGGAUUAUGCCUGAACGCCUCUAAGGUCGUAUCCGUGCUGGACUGCAAUGAUAAAUAAGGGGCAAUUUGCAUUGU